rnacentral:rRNA from 1 species
AACAGGAUUAGAUACCCUGGUAGUCCACGCCGUAAACGAUGUCGACUUGGAGGUUGUGCCCUUGAGGCGUGGCUUCCGGAGCUAACGCGUUAAGUCGACCGCCUGGGGAGUACGGCCGCAAGGUUAAAACUCAAAUGAAUUGACGGGGGCCCGCACAAGCGGUGGAGCAUGUGGUUUAAUUCGAUGCAACGCGAAGAACCUUACCUACUCUUGACAUCCAGAGAACUUAGCAGAGAUGCUUUGGUGCCUUCGGGAACUCUGAGACAGGUGCUGCAUGGCUGUCGUCAGCUCGUGUUGUGAAAUGUUGGGUUAAGUCCCGCAACGAGCGCAACCCUUAUCCUUUGUUGCCAGCGGUUCGGCCGGGAACUCAAAGGAGACUGCCAGUGAUAAACUGGAGGAAGGUGGGGAUGACGUCAAGUCAUCAUGGCCCUUACGAGCAGGGCUACACACGUGCUACAAUGGCAUAUACAAAGAGAAGCGACCUCGCGAGAGCAAGCGGACCUCAUAAAGUAUGUCGUAGUCCGGAUUGGAGUCUGCAACUCGACUCCAUGAAGUCGGAAUCGCUAGUAAUCGUGGAUCAGAAUGCCACGGUGAAUACGUUCCCGGGCCUUGUACACACCGCCCGUCACACCAUGGGAGUGGGUUGCAAAAGAAGUAGGUAGCUUAACCUUCGGGAGGGCGCUUACCACUUUGUGAUUCAUGACUGGGGUGAAGUCGUAACAAGGUAACC